rnacentral:misc_RNA from 1 species
UUAAGAUACAUAAAUUGGCAGGUUCUAUAUCCAUCAGGUGUGCCUCAAUACAUCAAUCUUCAUCCCUAAACUUUUCAUAGAUCUUUAACUGAUCCUUCCACUUAUAAUUUACCAUAAUGAGAACAAAAUUCAAGAAGAAAAGUGUUCGGUAGUAGCCCUAACAGUAGAUAUUCCAGAGAAGAAAAUAGAAGAAAUAAUAGA